UAGGGAAUCUUCGGCAAUGGACGAAAGUCUGACCGAGCAACGCCGCGUGAGUGAAGAAGGUUUUCGGAUCGUAAAACUCUGUUGUUAGAGAAGAACAAGGACGUUAGUAACUGAACGUCCCCUGACGGUAUCUAACCAGAAAGCCACGGCUAACUACGUGCCAGCAGCCGCGGUAAUACGUAGGUGGCAAGCGUUGUCCGGACUUAUUGGGCGUAAAGCGAGCGCAGGCGGUUUCUUAAGUCUGAUGUGAAAGCCCCCGGCUCAACCGGGGAGGGUCAUUGGAAACUGGGAGACUUGGGUCGAGAAGGGGGGAGUGGAAUUCCAGGUUUAGCGAUGAAUUGCGUAGAUUUAUGAAGGAACACCGGUGGGGAAGGCGGCUCUCUGGUCUGAAACUGAAGCUGAGGCUGGAAAGCGUGGGGAGCAACAGG
rnacentral:rRNA from 1 species